rnacentral:rRNA from 1 species
CUGCUUAACACAAGUUGAGUAGGGAAAGUUUUUCGGUGUAGGAUGAGACUAUAUAGUAUCAGCUAGUUGGUAAGGUAAUGGUUUACCAAGGCUAUGACGCUUAACUGGUCUGAGAGGAUGAUCAGUCACACUGGAACUGAGACACGGUCCAGACUCCUACGGGAGGCAGCAGUAGGGAAUAUUGCGCAAUGGGGGAAACCCUGACGCAGCAACGCCGCGUGGAGGAUGACACUUUUCGGAGCGUAAACUCCUUUUCUUAGGGAAGAAUUCUGACGGUACCUAAGGAA